rnacentral:rRNA from 1 species
ACUCUGAUGCAGCGAUGCCGCGUGAGUGAAGAAGGCCCUUGGGUUGUAAAGCUCUUUCGUCGGGGAAGAAAAUGACUGUACCCGAAUAAGAAGGUCCGGCUAACUUCGUGCCAGCAGCCGCGGUAAUACGAAGGGACCUAGCGUAGUUCGGAAUUACUGGGCUUAAAGAGUUCGUAGGUGGUUGAAAAAGUUGGUGGUGAAAUCCCAGAGCUUAACUCUGGAACUGCCAUCAAAACUUUUCAGCUAGAGUUUGAUAGAGGAAAGCAGAAUUUCUAGUGUAGAGGUGAAAUUCGUAGAUAUUAGAAAGAAUACCAAUUGCGAAGGCAGCUUUCUGGAUCAUUACUGACACUGAGGAACGAAAGCAUGGGUAGCGAAGAGGAUUAGAUACCCUCGUAGUCCAUGCCGUAAACGAUGUGUGUUAGACGUUGGAAAUUUAUUUUCAGUGUCGCAGCGAAAGCGAUAAACACACCGCCUGGGGAGUACGACCGCAAGGUUAAAACUCAAAUGAAUUGACGGGGACCCGCACAAGUAGUGGAGCAUGUGGUUUAAUUCGAAGAUACGCGCAGAACCUUACCAACACUUGACAUGUUCGUCGCGACUUUAAGAGAUUAAAGUUUUCGGUUCGGCCGGACGAAACACAGGUGCUGCAUGGCUGUCGUCAGCUCGUGUCGUGAGAUGUUGGGUUAAGUCCCGCAACGAGCGCAACCCUCACUUUUAGUUGCCAUCAUUAAGUUGGGCACUCUGAAAGAACUGCCAGUGAUAAGCUGGAGGAAGGUGGGGAUGACGUCAAGUCCUCAUGGCCCUUACGUGUUGGGCUACACACGUGCUACAAUGGUAUCUACAACAGGAAGCGAAACAGCGAUGUUAAGCAAAUCCUUAAAAGAUACCUCAGUUCGGAUUGCACUCUGCAACUCGAGUGCAUGAAGCUGGAAUUACUAGUAAU